rnacentral:rRNA from 1 species
CAAGUCUGACAGCGAGUGAAAUGCUUGCAGUCUUAAGGACAAGCUGUGAUGGGGAGCGAAAUUAUAGUAGCGAAGUUCCUGAUGUCACACUGCCAAGAAAAGCUUCUAGUGAGAAAUAAACUACCCGUACCGCAAACCGACACAGGUAGUCGAGGAGAGUAUCCUCAGGUGAGCGAGCGAACUCUCGUUAAGGAACUCGGCAAAAUGACCCCGUAACUUCGGAAGAAGGGGUGCUGACCGCAAGGUCAGCCGCAGUGAAUAGGCCCAAACAACUGUUUAUCAAAAACACAGGUCUCUGCUAAAUCGUAAGAUGAUGUAUAGGGGCUGACGCCUGCCCGGUGCUGGAAGGUUAAGAGGAUGAGUUAGCGCAAGCGAAGCCCAGAAUUGAAGCCCCAGUAAACGGCGGCCGUAACUAUAACGGUCCUAAGGUAGCGAAAUUCCUUGUCGGGUAAGUUCCGACCCGCACGAAAGGCGUAAUGAUUUGGGCACUGUCUCAACGAGAGACUCGGUGAAAUU